GAUGAACGCUGGCGGCGUGCCUAAUACAUGCAAGUCGAGCGAACAGACGAGGAGCUUGCUCCUCUGACGUUAGCGGCGGACGGGUGAGUAACACGUGGAUAACCUACCUAUAAGACUGGGAUAACUUCGGGAAACCGGAGCUAAUACCGGAUAAUAUAUUGAACCGCAUGGUUCAAUAGUGAAAGACGGUUUUGCUGUCACUUAUAGAUGGAUCCGCGCCGCAUUAGCUAGUUGGUAAGGUAACGGCUUACCAAGGCAACGAUGCGUAGCCGACCUGAGAGGUGGGACAGGGACAUGGGGAAGGAGAGAGGGGCCAGACUCAUAGGGGAGGCAGCAGGGGGAAAGAUGGCGCAAGGGGCGGAAGCGAGAUGCAGCAACGUCGCGAGAGGGAUGACUGCUUGAGGGUUGUAAACAGCUUUGGACUGUGACAAAGCGUGAGUGACGGUAAUGUGUAAAGAAGCAACGGCUAACUACGUG
rnacentral:rRNA from 1 species